UGUGUGUGAGCGUCUGCAGUCUUGGAUCUGGGUACGGGUUUAGCUGCAAUGCAGCUAGAAGUCAACAUUAAAGAGAGCUCCAGUUCAGAAAACACAAUUUACAUUUAUAAUCUUUGGUACAGUAAGGAUUGAAACAACUGUCAUCCUUACCACGUGCAUCAAAUUGGUCUCAUUGAUUCUACUUUGAGAGCUCAUGGAGGAAGACCCUGACAACUCAGCCAGGAAUGUCUGCCACAUCUCCAGAAGUCAUGUACAUCCUGCAGUUCCAGGUUUUGCACACUAGGGAAUAAGAAACGCUAAGGGACACUGUGAAAAAGGAGGACUUCAGAAUAAAGCGGGGAAGACAUUCUGGUAAGGCCUACUUUGGAAGAACACCUGGCCUAUGACCUGGCGAACCUAGGUGACUCCCCUCCCCCCUUCCUCCAGUCAUCACUGCAAGAAAGAUGGAGCUCUGAUGGUUUACUAAAACCUAUGCAAGAAAUGAGAGAGGUAUAUUGCCUAGAGGUAUACUACCUAGAGAAGUGUACAAGAGUAGAGUUAAAGUUGGUCAUUUCUUUUUUCUUUUUUUUGUUUUUAAUUUAAAAUAAAGCUUUUUUUCCCCCACAAACUAAAAAGGUAAAUUUAAUAUUUAUUUACUUGUAGCAAUCAGUAUAAUAUUUAAGGAGUAUAUAAUUUUUUUUAAUGCAGAAAAGACUUGCUAGAAGUAUGUAUUCUGAAUAGCUCCUGUUGUGAACUAUUAUCUGAAGAUCAAUUUUAAAGAAAUUAUUUUCUCUUAAAGUAAUAAAAUAAUAGAAAAGAAUGCAUGAAUAUUAUUUUAAAUUAUUGUAAAAUAUAAUAUAUCACCUUUGGUAGAACUGUACUUAGAUUUUAUAUGCAGCUGAAACUUCUUUGAAAGUGACCUAUAUAUGCUCAUGAAAACUGGGAGGGAAACCAUAGGAUAUCUAUGACUACUCCAUGCCCGGCUUCUGCCAUGUAGAAUACAAAAUAUUUGAUUGUCAGGAAAAAUUACCUCUGAGAGUUGAGGAUGUGAUGGAAAAAAAACCAAUAAAUAAAUAAAGCAGAACAAACAGCUUUCCAUCCCGAUACUUGGCUGGCCAUUGCCUGUAAGUGUUCAGCAUCGAUUGAUUGAUGCCGCUCUCAAGUAUACUUUGAAUCGUUGAUAUUUCUUCUAACAUUCAAAAUAAGUUACUUUGUCCUGAAUCCCACUGAUAAAAAUGGAAUUUGUAAACGAAUGCAGAAGUUUGCUUUGGUGAAUUUCCAGCUGUCCUGGUAGGGGAAAAACAACCCUCAGGCUGAAUGAAAUCCCCACGGACAAAAUAAUACAAAAAGUCUGGGCUGCAAUUUGAUACCAGCUGAACUCCAGAGUCAGCUCCCCUAAAGUUAACACUAGUAACAAACUACUGCAACUGGAAAAAAAAUCCCAUCUAUAUGGUGUUCAUUAUUGCCAGGAAGGCUUUGAAUAGCUAUACUAUAAAAACAAUUAGCAUAAAUAUGCAGCCAUUAGUAUUAUAACCAGCCACUUUUGCAGAAUGCAUAUUAUGUUUUAGUCAGCCAUGAUACUAUAUGAUUUAAAUAUUUUUAUUAUUAUUAUUACCUUUUUCAUUGCUCCUUCAAUAAUCAGUUGAAGUCCUACUGGGGACAGAUGGUCGCAUAGCAUUAGCGUGACUGUGCCUAUACCUGCUCUCUUAAAGCCCACAAAGCAAGAAGGAUCAGUGUCAUUUCCCUUAGCCUCCCAUCAAAGCUUACAUAUUUUGACUAAAAUAAUUCUUUUUUAAUGUAUAUAUACACUUGUAGGUUAUCCACUGUCUCUUCCUUUAUUUCACGGAAGAUUAUCUUUAGGACUAAAUUAGUGGGGUUUAAUCCAUUCUUGUAUGAGUAGACAGAAUAUUUAGUCUUGUUCUACUUUAAAGUGGAGUUGCAACACACAGUUAAAUGUAGUUAUUAAUAGAAAAUCUGAAAAGACAGGAAGAAAUUAAAGGAAUGGAUCCAGA